rnacentral:lncRNA from 1 species
GUUACUAACACCGGUAGUAGUCAUAGUAGUUCCACGGUUACUUAACACCGGUCGUAGUAGUUCACGGUUACUAACACCGGUAGUAGUAGUUCACGGUUACUAACACCGGUAGUAGUAGUUCACGGUUACUGACCCCGGUAGUAGUAGUUCGUUCACGGUUUACUGACACCGGUACCCCGGUAGUAGUAGUAGUUCACGGGUUAUGGAAC